rnacentral:rRNA from 1 species
UACGUAGGGGGCUAGCGUUGUCCGGAAUCAUUGGGCGUAAAGAGCGUGUAGGCGGCCCGGUAAGUCCGCUGUGAAAGUCGGGGGCUCAACCCUCGAAUGCCGGUGGAUACUGUCGGGCUAGAGUGCGGAAGAGGCGAGUGGAAUUCCUGGUGUAGCGGUGAAAUGCGCAGAUAUCAGGAGGAACACCAAUUGCGAAGGCAGCUCACUACACAAUCAUUGACGCUGAGGCACGAAAGCGUGGGGAUCAAACAGG